CCCCUCUCAGAGUCACCCCUGGAGAGUUUCCACUCCUCUACCAGUCUCGGCUACGGGAGAGCGAGUCAAGCAGAGGCCUGACCAUUCCAUUCCUAGCUUGCGCAGUGGCUAGCGAGUGGAAGGCAAUCUGCUACAGGU
rnacentral:snoRNA from 1 species